UACGGAGGGUGCAAGCGUUAUCCGGAUUCACUGGGUUUAAAGGGUGCGUAGGUGGCUUUGUAAGUCAGUGGUGAAAUGCCGCAGCUCAACUGCGGAACUGCCAUUGAUACUGCUUAGCUUGAAUCAGGUCGAGGUGGAUGGAAUAUUACAUGUAGCGGUGAAAUGCUUAGAUAUGUAAUAGAACACCGAUUGCGAAGGCAGUUCACUAGGCCUGAAUUGGCACUGAGGCACGAAAGCGUGGGGAUCAAACAGG
rnacentral:rRNA from 1 species